UCUUGUAUCCCAGGCUAGCCUCAAACUCACCAUGUAGACCUUGAACUUCUGAUCCUCCUACUUGGCCCUCCUAAGUGCAAGGGAUACAGGCAUGGACCACAAUGACCAGUGUAUUCAGUGCUGAGGAGUGAACACAGGGUCUCAUGAACGCUAUCCAAGCACUCUAUCAACUGACCUACGCUCUGAGCUCCCUUCUGUAUAGUUUCUGGCAGGAAUUUUUGUCAGGAAGAGACAGAGAGCCGCCGGCCCACGUAACCAAUUUCUCUAUGAUGGGGGCAGUUCCAGCCACUACAGGAAAUGUGGUGGCAAAGUGGUUACCAAGGAGCCCAGAGUCACCAGACACCAUCACUAGCAUCCACCAUGGGUUCCCUUCUGUCUAGGUCCUGGUCAAGAUCACUAGGAGGCGGGCUCUGGAGCUGGAAGCAUCCGGUCAGUCUGAUGAACUGAGCAGCUAUGCAGGUGCUGUAGACGUGGCAAGACUGUGCAGAAAUCAGGCCCCAGGAGUGAGCUCAGGCCUCACUCAAUCUUGGUUUCUGAAACCGUGGAGAGAGAAGGACUCUCAGCCUGGCACACAAGGUAGUUUUCUGCCUCUCAGGUUGAGAACCACUACUCCAGAGUCAUCUCAGAAGAGAGCAUCCAUGAGGAAUUGCCUAGGACAGGUCGGCCUGCGGGUCGGUGUGCGACUUUAACUGGGCUGUGAUGGAGGGACCCACCCACAUUCCAUGAGCUGAGCUCUGGGUUGGAUCUUGAAGAGUGAGCUGGGCACUGUGCAUAUUCAUUCAUUCUCUCUGCUCUUGACUGUGGGUGUGAUGUGGUCAGAUGCUUCCAAUUCCUGACGCCUUGGCUUCUCCACACUGCUGGACUGGAGCCCGGAACCCUGAGCCAAAGGCCCCCUUUCUCCCUUACGUUGCCCUUGUCAGGGUGUUUGAUCCCAGCCACAGGAAGAAACCCAGCCGUCCUAUGUUAGCUACUCAAGCAGGGUUCUUUCCGUAUCAAAAACAUUCUGCACUCAGCCUGUGUGCAUGCACAGUGAAUCCCGAGAAAACUGACUAGUGCACACAAACACUUAUCGUCAAAUGCCAUGAUGACAAUAUUCAUAAAAAUCAAAAAUGGAAUGGGGAGAGGUGGCUCAGUGGUUAGUCCGUGCUACUCUUGGAGAAGACCUGAGUUUGGGUCCCAGCACCCAAAGUCAGGUGACUCACAACCACCUGUCACUCUAGCUGCAGGGGAUCCGAUGCCCCCUGCUGGCCUCUCAGGUCAUGGCACUCACAUGUGUACGGAUAGACAACAUUUGAAACUUUUUUCUCUCUUUUUUAAAGCUUUAUUUAUUAUGUAUACAGCGUUCUGCCUGCAUGUAUGUCUACAGGCCAGAAGAGGGCACCGGAUCUCAUUAAAGAUGGUUGUGAACCACCAUGUGGUUGCUAGGAUUUGAACUCAGGACCUCUGGAAGAGCAGUCAGUGCUCUUAACCACUGAGCCAUCUCUCCAGCCCCAUUUUAAACUUUCUAAGAAUGUGUUUCACAUUUACAUGGACUCUGCCAUCACACUGGGAGCACCUGCAGGACACCUGCUACCAUUUCUUCGGGACGCAUCCAUGUGACUUAGUCAAUCUGGGGCUAUUGGAAAUAUGGACACCUCAGUAAAGUACCUGCCACACAAGCGUGAGAACCUGAGUUCAGACUCCAGCAUUCCGUAAAAGCCAGGCCCAGGGCUGUAUACCUGUGGCCCCAGCAGUAAGGAGGACAGAAAGGGGAGCCACCUCGAGUUCUCUGGCCAGCCAGUUUAGUGAGACAGUUGAGCACUAGUUUGAGUGAGAGAAUCUGUUUCAAAAUUAAGGUGGAUGGGCCAGAAAGAUGGCUCUGUGGGUAAAGGCUAUCUACCCGAGUCUGAAACCCCAGGUCCCAGAUGAGGACUCUCAAUUUGUCCUCUGACCUUCAAGUGUGCUGCGGCAUACAUGUGCCUAAAGUCACACAUAAAUAAACACAUAUCAGAAACACACAA